rnacentral:rRNA from 1 species
GAUGAACGCUAGCGGCAGGCUUAAUACAUGCAAGUCGAGGGGCAGCAUGGUGUAGCAAUACACUGAUGGCGACCGGCAAACGGGUGCGGAACACGUACAGAACCUUCCUUCGAGCGGGGAAUAGCCCAGAGAAAUUUGGAUUAAUACCCCAUAGUAUAUUGGAGUGGCAUCACUUUAGUAUUAAAGAUUUAUCACUUGAAGAUGGCUGUGCGGCUGAUUAGGUAGUUGGCGGGGUAACGGCCCACCAAGCCUGCGAUCAGUAACUGGUGUGAGAGCACGACCAGUCACACGGGCACUGAGACACGGGCCCGACUCCUACGGGAGGCAGCAGUAAGGAAUAUUGGUCAAUGGACGAAAGUCUGAACCAGCCAUGCCGCGUGGAGGAUGAAGGUCCUCUGGAUUGUAAACUUCUUUUAUAUGGGACGAAAAAGGGCUUUCUAGCUCGUCUGACGGUACCAUAUGAAUAAGCACCGGCUAACUCCGUGCCAGCAGCC